CCCUCAGCUAUCCUCAUUUAAAAAGGGUGGUCAGGCAUGUAUCGUAGCAAAUUUAAAGCUUAGGCUGUUGUUCUGGUGAGAAGUCUAAUUUACCGUAAUUGCCUUUUUUUUAAUAAUGAGCUGAUCCAUUUGAGAUGUCUCAAUAACCAUUACCCAGUUAAGAUGAUGGCUUAAUUUGGAGUUGCUGUUACGAGUGUGGGCACGCUGGCCUCAAGCUGCUCGGUCUGGGCACUGCGGUGUGAUGCUUUAAGUCUGCCGAGAGUGACUUUUGAACUAUACAGAAACUUUCACUGACUUGCAUGGGAGCUGUUCAAUGAGAGGUGAAAGGAGCACUCAGGAUAUGAGUGAAUACAAAUAUCUUCUGGUUUUGUGGUUUUGUAAGUUCCCAUAAAUCAGUCAGCAAGUUCCCAGUCAUUGUGACAACCGCAUGUCCUGUGCUCGGGCACUGCAGUUGCCACAAACCCCAGCAAAGGCUGCAGUCAGCCCAUAAAGAGCAGCAAGGCAGAAGAGUGGCAUUUAAAACACAGAGCACAAUCUGACAGAUUUCUGCCUUGUUUUUUUAUUCAGACUGUCAGUGCACCAGCAGAUUCUUAGAACCACCCUCUCUUUCCUCCAUGCCCCCCACCUUGCUACUUAAAUCAAGCAACAGAAAUCCAUAGAGGGAUUUUCUGGGAGAAAUGAGAUGAAAGCUUUUAUGGGCUUUCAUAAGGAUUUCAUAGAAUUACAGAAUGGCUUCAGUUGGAAAUGACCUUAAAGAUCAUCCAAUUCCAACCUCCUGCUGUGGGCAGGCAGUAGAUUAGACUCAGUAUUUUGUACUGCUUGUUCUAAGGAAAUGCUUGUGUUAAUGAGCAUUCAUGGUGAAACAUGGAAUAGAAGUUGGUUAGAAGAGGAAGUGGGAUGAUCUGUGAGUCCCCACUUUCCUCAGUCUGCUGCAGGAGCUGGGGUCCAUAUGGGGCAGCAGUCAGUUCUGCUGCUUCCUGACCUACCUAAGUGGGAUCCCUGUCCAGGGACCUGAACCUACCCUGGUUGGCUUAAGACUGGGGAGUCUGCAGCUCAAACAAGGCGCUUUGUUCCGCAUUGUGAAUGCACUGAUUAAACCUCAUAGUUGGGAGACUGGACAUACUGAUAUUCUCUCCCUCUUUUGCAUUGCACAACAGUACAGACACCCAGACAUCUGCGAGCUAGCAGAUUUGAUCUGUGUUCCUAAGGAUUGUGAAAUUCUGGUUGUAUAUAAAUUUGCUGUCUGAAUUUGAAGCAUGAUUUAUGACGGGUGCCUUGCCUCUUGUAGUUAGCAUGACUUCCCUUUCUGUAGGAUUGCUAGGCAGAUGUUCUGACUUCUCCAGUAUGCUGUCCUUAACAUGGCUUUUCCUCAUCUUUUGUGCUGCCUACUUACUUGCUGAAGCUGUUCAGCUGAUACGCAAUAAACUGUAUCUUCCUUAGUAUUCAGGCCUAGUGCUGGCUGGAAUAACUAAAACGCAAAGCAAGGUGUGCAUUUGUUUUGCACUGUUUAGGAGCUAUCUAAAAUACUCGGAAGCGUGUGGUGGUUCUUAUUUUUGUUCCAUUUCCUCAAUCCUCUGUUAUAAGUGCACUUUCGCUUGCUAAUCUGCUGUCUGAAAUACUCUUUGUUCAGGAAAGCAAGUCUAUUUCUGUUGUAAUCAGGGCUAAGAAUUCAGCUGCAGGGUCACUUGCACUGCAGAGUUCACUGACCAUGUUUUGCUGCUGGCAGUCCCAGCUUUGGCCCUUUACACAGAUCAAUGCCAGGCUAACCCCAUUUAUUGCUACUACUGAAUCAAAGCUCUGCUGCUCCUACUUAAUUUAGCUCAAAAUAGACAUAAUGCAAACAAGCGUCAGCAUGGCAAAAGAGCGAGAAGAAGGGGAGGAAGAAAAAAGGCGUGCAGUUGUUUGGGUUUUGAUUUGUUGUUUUUUUGAAUUGAAGAUACCAAAUGGUGCCAGGAUUCAGAAGAGAGGAAUUUGUUUGUACUGUGCUAUUAGACUCUUUAUAAAAAAUAGUAGUCAUCAUUGAUUCUGAUCUGUGCAGUAGAGUUUGUCUGUCUGUCUUUCAUUUCCUUUUUGUGUUUUGAGAAUCUCUUCUAAUUUAACAGCUUAGGCACACAUUCUGAUUUCUUCUGGGUUUUGUAGUCCCACUGAUAUCACUUGCAGUUUGCGUUGUCUUGGUCACACGAGGUGGGCCUCCAUCCUUGCUACUGGGUACCCAUCACCAGUUACUUCUGUUUCAGCUUCAUGGAAACGUGCAGACCGGCUUGUGGUCAGGUGAAGUUACUGUUGGCAGGAGUGCUGUUCUCGGUGAAGCUACAAUGGUGUUGAACCCUUUGUGAGGUUCAUCAUGGUGAGGUGGGUUAUGAGGUUUUGUUUAAGGGAAUAGGGUAGGUAUUGCACUUUGUGACUGCACUAUAACUCUUUUCUGCAGCUGUGGCACACCUCAGUCUGAGAAAACACUGGGAUCCUGAGGACGUUACUUGGAGCUGAGAUGACAGGACCUUUAUGGCGUGGUUGGCAACCCGCCACUGUUUCCAGCUAGGACUGGAUUUAUGAAUUCCACUGCCACACCUCAUUCCACACAGCUUUCAAAUAUGUGGAGUAAGGCACACACAUACCCUCGCAGCUUGUUGGCUCCUGGGCUGCAGCCCUGUUCCCUCUAUGAGGCAGCAUGGAUGGAAAUCCUGAGAUUUAGUGUUUCUGAUAAACACAAAGAAAUCCCCUCCUUCCACUCCGCUCCUUCCCCUAACUCAUCCCCCUCAGUUCUGCAGCUCCAGGGCACCACUCAGCAGAAAUCAAGUGUUCAGCGUGGGUAUGUAUAUAAUGGGAUUUAAGAUGACAGCCAUGAGACAAAUCCAUCACUUAGGAAUUGUUGAAGUUAAUUUCUGCCCCCUCUGCUACAUGCUCAUCACAGGUCUUCUGAAACUUUUCCUGUUUGCUCUAAGUGCUCUUACUCAUUACAAUUCAGCUGUUCCUGAAGGCAAACUUUUGUUCCGUGGAAGAGACCAAAGCAAAGAUUGAAUGUUUUUUGUGUUUCACCACCCUUCUCCACACUCUUGCAAAUUAAAUGCCUCCUCCUCCAGCCUACCCUUUUCUCUUCUGGCAGGGCACUGUUGCCCCAACAAGGGAAGCUUUGUCUUGCUUCUCCCACUCCCAGCACACGCUUGGCUUCCCCAUUGCCUUCUGUUUUUGCCUCUUGGAGACCCUGCAGUCUCCCUGCUUUCCUGCCCAGUAUUUUGGGACAGAGCUGCAGGUGUCCUGUACCACCUUCCUGGACAAAGGUUGGGCAGUGCAUCAGGUCCUAGGCUUUCUGGCCUUUUCUACAAGCCUGCCCACUUCCAGAGUAAGUCCUUUGAGGGUUAUCCUCCAGAUUUAAUCUGGAUCUGCUCUUUCAACACCUUGAGAUGUGUUACUAUGUGACUGUCCUUUCAUGAGCUGUUAAGUAUUCCUCCUGUGAUGCUUCCUUCCACUUCUCAGGUGUCUGUUGGAAGAUAGUGGUUUUGUUUUUAUUUUUAUUCACAGUAAGGCAGUACUUUUGUGAAGAACAGCCUAAGUGUUGGGAGCCCGCUGCAUGGUGCAUUUGAUUUGAGCAUUCUCCAUAGCAUGCAAUGUCUUGUUCCCUGUGUGCCUGGGAAAAGCCUCCAGUGGUGUCUCCUUGGUAAAUAAGGGACAGUGUCUCAAAAUCAUUGUUUGUUGUGUGGUUUGCUCUUUCUUUUUUUUUUCUUUUUUCUUUUUGUGGUUUUGGUUGUUUUGGUUGUUUUGUUUUAGGCAGAGGUAGGAUUCCAUUCCUGCCUACUUUGUGUAGAAAAUAUUUUUUAACCCAUUUUUUUUGCCCUUGGAAGUUAAACUGACUUCGCUAUAUUAAGUCAGUUAGAUCUGUUUGGAAAUCAAACAAAUUUUGAUGUAUGAGGGCUGCUGAGAAAGUAAUGCCUAUUUUAAGAUGUUGGCCUGUGACAUCUGAGGCGGAUGUUGGUGCUGUGGCAGUAGAUGUUGAAUCUUCCCACCAGUAUCCCAGUAUCUACAUAACGCAUGUUGUUGCUGUGUGACAGAUGGCAGCAGAGGAGGAAUCUGACAAAUUGGCGUCUGAUAUGGAAGUGCCUUUGAAGCAGUGGUCUGUCAAUGAAUUCCUCUGUGUGGAAAAAAUGGUAUCAGAUCUUAAAUUAUCAUGUCUUCUAAGCACGUAAUUAUUAUGUACUCAAACUGUUCUCCUAAAUAUGUCCUGCCCAGUCCUUGUGGCUUGAUCCUUCUCUGAAGUAUUUUUUUUGUCUGUUGCAAAAGCCAGGUGUAGUUCAGAAUGGUUAAUUUUGGACCUGAGCUGUUUAUAGAGGAUGUGUCCCCUUGUUAGCAUGGUCUUACUAGUUCGUACCACUGGUUAUUACCGCUCAAGAUGCUCACUGGAUUUGAUUUCUGUGGCUCUUGUUAGGUGAUGUCUUCCCCCCAGACAGAUAAAAGAUUUUUUCAGAUGUUGUUUUGAAUGAGGACAGUUUCACUUAAGCUUAUUGCCUCAGCAGUGGUUAAAUUAUGCUAACUAACCUCUUGGCAAUGGCCAGCUUCUCCAAGAACUCAGUUACAGAAUAACCAACCAAAAAGAGAAAUUUCAUACCUGAACUCUUUCCACAUGGGGUUGGUCCAGUUCUUGCCAGUGGCAAUGCAUACCCUUAGGUUGUCUGAUGUAGUUUCUGUUUUAAAAAUGAAGCAACUUUGUGUAAUAUAAGCUUGGCUUUUAUUUUCUUCGUAAAGCUGCCUGUUGCCCUUUUUCUUUCUAGCUGUCUCAGAAUUGCCUCAUUUGGUCGUUUGGAAGAAUACAGAAAUACUGCUGGCUUCUAUGUCAUGGUAUAUGUAUCUUUAGCAUGAGUUUGCUAAUAUGUCUUUAUUUCUUGCUUGUCAAUUUGAAAUUCAUGUUAUAUGUUAGAAAUGUUAAAAGCAAAUAGCUAGAGAAAGUUAAGGUAGAUAUUUUUUGCUGAGUGACAGACAUGGUCUCUAAUGCUUCUUUUGACAUAUUCAGUUAUUUUGUUGUCCGAACACUGGCACUUCAUGUGUUUAGUAAUAACCAAAGUGCAAAACUCGACUCAGAAACAGCCCAUGCAAAGCUUAUGAAUAUUAUAUGACACUUUUCCUGAUAUUCUGAGGAUGUGUGUGUGGUCUAUUGCAUGUCAGACCAAGCAAAGUCUUUUAGUAUGAAAUUGUGAGUUUGCUGAGCUAGUUAACAGAAACCAUUCUGUCUAAAACUAGUUAGUCAGCUGCUGCUUCAUGAAGUUGGUGAUAGCAGUGGUGGCUUCAGCAUGCAUACAGCACAUGGUUAUAUAGAUUUGUGGUUAAUCCACCCUUGUGGGCAAAAUGCACUAAAAUUAGCUGGCAAAUGAGUGUUUUUAUCGUAUGAGCUACUAUGACUACUUGGAAGAAUCCCUACAGGUCUGAAAACAAUAAUAAUCAGAAUUGUAUUUCUUAGCCUUGGAUCCAAAGGUAUCUUUUACACAUAAUGGAAUCAAAUGAACCAAAUCUAAAGUAUGCUUUGUUCCUAUGCCAUAUGUUUGCCGUCUUGCCAAGCACGCUUCUCUUCUCCUAGAGCAGGAUCCUGUGUUCUCCUCUUCUCAAAUCCUGCCCUUCAUACCAUGCAAAAAAGUGACUGCUUGACCUCACAGUUGUGUGGAUACCAUUCUUCUUCUCUUUUCAUCCCUAAGUGUUUUUCCGAUGUUUAAGAAAACUUAAAAAAACAAAACAAAACAAAACAAAAUAGAAAAAGAGGUAGAAGCAAACUAAAAAGUACUGCAUUAAUGAAGCCUUUUAAGUUUAAUUGAGGACUUCAGCCCCUUUCCACUAGUUGCCUCAAAGCAAUACCUCCUCCUAUGAUGGCUUUAAGAUCCAGAGAGCAUCCGAGUUUCGGUAUGGAGCAGGGGUAGGAAAGUAUCUGGGUGGCUGAGGGCUGUUUACUCAGCUCCUGUAUGCAGUGGUGCAUCCGUAGCUUGCUAGGAUUGCUCCUGAGAUACCUCAACCAUCUUCUGUCACUUUGUGUAUGUGCCUUCAACAUAAGCCUGAUUCCUCUCCCAGCACCUGUGUGCUGUUAUGCCGCCUGUCCCAAGGUAUUAAGUAACCUACGUGCGUUUUGAAAUAGCUAAUGAUAAAUAAGGCGAUUUCUCUCAUGAUAGUGCUUGGACUUUUUCAUUCUCCUGCUUAUUAUGAAAUAUGUAGGCUGAUAAUUUUAAUGAGAGUUACAAGAGAAGAGAGAAACUUUUAGCCAGACCUGGAAAUGCAUGGGAUCAUUUUAGAGCUGACUAAACUCUCCUUAUUGCACUCUGCAUUAACCAGGACUUCUGAAAAGCCUGUUGUUUCAGUAAGUUUGGUCUUUAUCGUUUCUUUCACCCUCUUGGUCUCUAUCACUCUGACAGGUUUUCAGUAGAGAACCUUUUUUUUUUUGAGGUGGCACCACCGCUUUGCUUAGGUCAGCACUGGGAGGGGAAAUGGGCGAUAGAGAGAAGGAAAAGCCUGUGACAACAGAGGACUCCUGAAGGCUGAUUCUUUUUGGCUAUAGUGUUGCAUUUCAUCCUUCCUGGAGUGAAGGAUGUAUAAUUUAGCAUUGCAGUUUUCCACGGUAUUUCAAUUUCUGUACUAGCUUGAACUCUAACUGUCAAACUUGCAAUUUUGUUGACAUCUUAAUUGUAAAUUAGAUAAUUACAAAGGUAUUGUCUUAAAGCUCUUUUGUGUCUUUUUUUCCCGCUGUGAGGUUAUAGAUGAAGCUAUCUGUCUGUUAUAUUGUCUAGUCUCAUAAUUACUAAGUGGACACAGUGUCUUCAAAAUUACAAUUCAGACUGAGAAUAUUUUAUUAUUUGUUGCUGCAAGAAACAUCUGGAGAGUGCUUAGAGCUCAAGUGCAUUACAGCGUUUCAUAGAAACAGUUUUAUUGGAUUCUUAGGAUUUGUCCCUCUCAUAUGGCAGGAAGAGCUAACAGAGGCGCUUUUUUUUUUUCUUAAGGUGAUUCCAGAUAUAAAAUUCUUCAGGCUAUAUGAAGGUGGUUCUUUCUGUUGGCUGCUUGUUCAGUCUGAAGUAGAUAAUAUUCUGUUGAUAUGUCCAAAAAUGCAUCUUCUCCAUAUGGGUCAGUAUUAUCUCUUUCUGCUCCCAGGCAAAUUAAUAAAACAAAUUUUAAAAGUGCAAAGGAAAGCAGGCAGCUGGCUGAUUCAAAGGGUGAGGCUAUGUUUUUCAUCACCACCCUUUCAAAGCCUCUCUGAAUCAAAAGAACCAUUGGAUUGCGAAGGCAAGACCUAUGCCACACCAGAAGCUCCCAGUUCAGCAAUUUUCCCAGGGUAAAUUAUAACUCAUGUUUCCUCAGCACAGGCUGUAACUGGCAGCGUUCCUUCUACUUCUAAGGGUGAAAUUGCUGGGGGGAGAACAGACAUCUAAUGUGCCUCUGGAAGUUUUACAAUGGGUGUUAGCCUGGCUUUGUGAAAAGGGAGACGUUCCUCUGGAACAUACCCAAGGGCAGGUGCUAUUCAAACUGUAGUGUAAAUUAACUUUAAAUAAAGUAGUGUGGGCCUACUUCUGUUGGGGUUGCGAGUCAAAUUUGCAGAAAAGGCCCAUUUUUCAAAUUCUGACAGUUAAUGACAAUCUUCCAGUUAUCCCACUGUAGUCUGCAUUCUUAUGAGUCUUUAAAAUCUUCAGAUAUGACUGCAAUUCAAGAUGCUAAUCUUUGUUCAUGUACAGCUGAUAGGAUCUUAACUCACAAACAAAACAGCCGGAUUUUAGCAAUGCUUGUAUUUUGGUGUUUCUUCUCACCAGGAGAUUAUUGGACAAAUUGCAGACUCAUGAAGAAUGUAGCCAGUUAGUCUUUCUCCUCAUUCAAAUUUUGACACCAUCUUUAAAAAGUUGUUUAACUUUGCAUUCAAAUGUACCUGCAUGGUCCUGGCCAAGAAAAGCUCUUCCCUUUUUAAGCUCAGGAGGGAGCGUUGUGUUGCUUGUUUUUGGUUUUUUUUUCCCUCUUUUUUUUUUUUUCAUAUGUGAAGACUCCUACAGAACGUGCUCAGAGUGCCUGCUGGAAGUGGAUAAAGGACCUGAGUGAGAAGUAUGAGUGAAAUUAUUUAUUCAGCUUAACCUAUGCGGUGUCCACUUGGGAGGAGUGGAUGGCAGAUUCGUGUGUUCAGAGCUGCUCCUUCCCACCUCCAUUCCUGACCUGAACUCUGUGUACUACUCAGGGCCAAGGUGGCUGUGGUAUAGCAUCGCUGCAGCAGGAACUGUUGGCUGCUCUGUGCUGGGUUCUUCCCAGCACAGCCUGGGGGUAGCUGCCCAGGUGGCUGUCUUUUCUAGGGAGGAGGUGAGAGCACCAGUGGAGUCCCAGGGCAGGUAUCUUGUCUGCAAAGGCACUGGCAGACCACACCUCUGCACCCAGGAUGAGGUGGUCCAUGGCAUUUGGAUCAAGGCUGCUGCUGGAACAGCUAAGGCCUUGUAUGAAGGAGAACGGGUCUGUCAUCUGCCCUCUGCCAGAAGGCAAAACUUCUUUGUGUGCUUGCUUUCGUACAGUUAUGAGUAAAUUCACCCUCUUUCUGCUACCUGAGGUUUGAUAGGGGUAAGAGAAAUGAGUGACCUAUUUUCCAGCUUUAAAGAAAAAUAAAUGAAGUUGUCCUCAGGGCAGUGGAAGCAAAGGCUUUUGUAUCAGCUGGAGUGUUGUGGGCAGGGCUGCCAGACUGUGCAAGGCUCCUCAGACCUUGCAGCCUCUUUCCCAGGGACUCCUCAUCUCUGUGUUUCCUUUUAUUAAUAUAAAUAAAUAAAAAUAAUUGCAUGGAUGUGUACAAGAUAACUGUAGUCUGUCUCCAUUGAGGCUGAGGAAUCUGCUGGCAAUUGGUGGCUUGUAGCAGUUCCUUCAGUACCUGGCAGGAUCCACUUUCUGUCUGUGAGAACAAAAGCAUGAGAAGGAGGUACCUGGCUAUGCAUACCUUCAAGUAUUUGGGGCUGGGCACAUGUAGUUAGAGGAGGCUCAGGCUGGGGAGCUGCUCUUCCUUUUGGUCACUCCUAAAUCAAUGUUACUGUCAGUUUGAGUAGAAGCUAGUGUAGAGCAAAUCAGCUCCUAGUGGAACAAACGGUCUAAAAUUGCAUGCAUGUGUCCCAUUCCCAUUGUAGGACUCCAUUAGAGGUGGUGCAGCAGGUCUGUUGGCCUUCGGUCUGGUGCCCUCCUUCAUCCUCCCGAAGGUUUAGGGGAUGGUUUUGCUGGCCGCAGUCUGGGUUGUAUACCCUGUGAUUAUACAGUGUUGGGUGGGCAGUUGUGUGCUGUGUAGUAAUUGAGAGCAGCUUUCAAAUCCGGUUUUGCUUGUAAAUUACAGUGCCUCUUUUCCCAAGUGAGAAUCCAACCAGCAGCAAGUCUGAAGACCAUAGAAGUCUGCUUCCAUUACAGAAAGCAAAGUGGCUAGAGGCUGUGUGCCGGAGGAGGUGAUGCACCUGAGCUUGACCCCCAAGUUUAACAUGGAUUUUAUUUUAAUAGUGUGUUGGGUUGCAUAUAUGCAGAAGAUCCAGCUUGAGCUAUAGGCUUAAGUCAAGUCCUGCAUCAGCCACAUUUACCACUGGCUUGACCAGUGUUUAGAGGGUGUAUAUGGCAAGAAGAGGGUAGGACAUACAGAAGUAUAGAGCUUUACUUACAGUGCUUGAAUGUAAUAAAUGAAAGCAUUUGGUCUGGCCUCAGUUAUGCUUACCCAAACAAGCAAGGGGCUGAGUUAAUCUUCCAGAAAGACUGCAAACUAUAGAAUAUCUUGGGCAGUGGUAAACUUUCGCAUGCAGUUUCAAGGCCUAGGGAAAUCUCCAGAAAAAUUUCUGGGCACUUGAAGAGAGAAAUCCUGUCUCUGUAAACUUUACUUUUACUAGAAUUUGGAAUUGCCUUUGCUGCAAUGAUGGUAUAAGCAUAGCUCCUGCCCUUAUUCCUAAAGCCUCCUUCUCAAAUUAAUUAGAGAUUUUCUUAAGUUCUCAGUGGUCAGUCUAUGAUGAAAUUGUGGUUAGAGCUGUUCUGCUGAAGCUAGGUGUGUGCUGCAGGCUCGACUACUGUCUACCUGCAUGUUGAUGUUGGGAUUUUCAAAUCUUCAAGAUUUGAAGAUUUCAAGACUUCUUCACUGUCCUGAACCUCCAGGUCUGAUCAACUCAGAUGAAGUUCCAGCAAGACUUACUGUGCCAAGGAAAUUCAACCAUGUUCUCUCCAGCUCUUGCAGCACUUCACAGGCUGGUGUGCCCAGCCAUGCCUGCAUCCAGAGGAGGAGGCUGUGAGAGUAGCAUGUAGGAUAUGGAGCAAGGGAGACUCGUCUUGAGGGCUCUCUGGGGUCAGCACCUCUGGGACAAGGAGGACAUAGCAGCAAACUGUCCUGUCAGACCUGAUGGCACCAUUACAGCCCAGACAUCUCCUCAGAGAGCUUCCAUCAGUGUAAAGGUGAAGAAGAAGAAGAAAAAAGAGCAUUGAUAUGUGUGAAGUGCAAAAAGCGUAAAGACUUUUUCCAAAGGGUCUGAACCACUUCUUUGUGUCUGUUCUUCAGAAUGAAGAUGAAGAGAAGGCACUGCCAUUGCAAUUAGGAGACUGAAAAGCAUCUGGCAUAUUCUGUGCCGUGUACAGUCUCUGACAACCUUGCAGGUCUGUCUGAGGGGCUAGCACAACCUGGUGUUCCCUGUGGACAUGGUGUACCAUGGCCAAAACCAGGGAGCUCAUUGUGAGGAUGUCACCAGCCUGGAGGAUUUUCCCCUUCCAGCAGAACAAGCUUCCUGGACAUAUAGCUCUGUAUCUCUUUGUGUUUGUUACACCUUCUAGAGGAGUUGUUUGUACUGUACUGAUACUGUUUAUAUUGAAUAAAUGCUUUCUCCAGCCUCUUUGUUGUGGUGACUGUUUCUGCUGAAUUGGAAAAAAGUGGAGGGUACUUGCUUAAGCAUUGUGGUGAGACAUGAUAGUGAUUUUUUUUAAUCUUUAAUGAAAUGUUUCUUUUGAAAAAAGUGUCUCCUCAGAAUGAGGACACUUCUGCAGGAGCCAAAUCAGAGUCAUCUUAAUGUUCUUGGUUUGUAUGAGGGACUUGAAGCAGUAUUUUGUGCAUCACCGCAAGCUCCCCUGAGGAUCAGCCC